CCUGGGGCUGGAGUAGGUCCCAAGGGUUGGGCUGUUCGCCCAUUAAAGCGGUACGCGAGCUGGGUUUAGAACGUCGUGAGACAGUUCGGUCCCUAUCCGCCGUGGGCGCAGGAGAUUUGAGGGGAGCUGACCUCAGUACGAGAGGACCGGGUUGGACGGACCGCUAGUGCACCGGUUGUUCCGCCAGGAGCACCGCCGGGUAGCCAUGUCCGGAUGGGAUAAGCGCUGAAAGCAUCUAAGUGCGAAGCCCACCCCAAGAUGAGAUCUCCCACCGGGUCAACCGGGUAAGACCCCAGCUAGACCAGCUGGUUGAUAGGCCGCAGGUGUAAGAGUGGCAACACUUUGAGCUGAGCGGUACUAAUCGGUCGAGGGCUUGACCUCC
rnacentral:rRNA from 1 species